AUGGCACUGAAGGACCGGCCUCCCAAGGGGGACAGUUUGGUGCGUUGGACAUUUGUAUCACUGUGGUACACGUUCGGUGGAGGAACCAGACUGGAAGUUAACUUGGGUCGAGUCGCCCCCACCCUGACGGUGCUGCCCCCCUCCAGCCAGGAGCUGCAGCAGGGGAAGGCCACGCUCACGUGUCUGGCCAACAAGGGCUUCCCCUCAGACUGGAGUCUGGCCUGGAAGGUGGACGGCAGCAGCAGCAGCAGCAGCAGCUGGGAGCAGAGCAGGAGCCCCGGGGUGCUGCAGGCGGACGGCCACUACAGGUGGAGCAGCACCCUGAGGCUCACUGCAGACCAGUGGGGGAAGGUGGGCUCUGUGACCUGUGAGGCCACCCAGGGCUCCCAGACUCCACUCUCAGAGACACUGAGGAGAGACCAGUGUUCCCAGUCCUGA